CAGAUCUUCCCUUGCUAUUGGACGUUGGGAGUCCUGACCUGAACCCGCCAUCAACUGCUUCCAGCAAGGCCUGCGGUUCCUUCCCUCUCCUGGAGAGAACUGGGUGUGAGAUGGAGAGUUUUAUUUAGGUAGGACACACAGCUGUUCUGAAAUAUAAAUACUGCCCCACUUACAAGUUAGGAAAAGCAGCUUAAAGCUGAACUAUAAGGAAAACUCCAUAAAAGCUGACUGACUUAC
rnacentral:lncRNA from 1 species